rnacentral:rRNA from 1 species
AUGAGGUGCCACCUCUGCCUCCACCCCCCACCGGGCAAGGAGCUCAAGGUGAAUAGGCGGUGGGAAGGUGAGAGGAAGCAGGAGCUCAUCUCUCCUCCAAUGGCUGCCUCGUGCAUCUGGAGGACAACACGUGCUUGUUGGAGGCGACUCGAGCGAUGCAGUUGUGUCAAGUUUGCUGACAUCCUCGUGCUGCAACUGGCUUGGUAUAUUUGGUUAAUCGUAACCAGCAAAGAGGAGGAGUCACAUACAUGCGCACCUGCCAGCGGCAGGCAGGUCGAAUUGUCGCGCCACCGCAUCGUCGCCUCCUCUGCACCAUGA